rnacentral:misc_RNA from 1 species
GGACUCCUGCAUAAGAAAUUCUCCUUUGAUGGAACUACUAAAUUCCAGCUUCUUGGGAGGAAGAAACACCGAAUAAGUAGUAACAGUAGAGUACUUGAACAUUGCAACCAUUCGCCCUAAUCCAAAGAAGUAGAGGAAAUCCUUAUCAAAGGAGUGACCACAUGCAGACAGUCCACUAAAGAAAGAGGGAUUUGAGAAACUAAGCUCCAAAAAUUUUCCAAAAGAAAACCCACGGGAGCCAGUAGAUAUUAACACUCUUUUAGUGGAAGAUGAGCUUCCAUUCUGGGAUUUGCAUUUACAGCAACGACUCCACAUCCAAAGUUUGCCUUCAUGUUCACCUCGCAAGCCCUUGUCCAUGGGAAGACAACGGACUUGAAUCGUAAGGAGCUUGUUGUGAUGCGCAUAAUGAAAAAUGUGAGCUUCAGGGGAUUCACCACACGUCUUGCACUCCUUCUGGUUUAGCAAAUUAUCCUGCAAAAACUUUUCAAGGGGAAUAUCAAAAUCUUGAUAGAACUUGAUCCGAGAAAAAUGACUAUGCUUACACAUAAUCCCUUUUGAAGCAUUUCGACAGGACAUCAGAACCAAAAUACUCUCAGAAUCCAAAAACGAUGUCACAUUAUCCUUCAUAUGUUCUUGGUCUUCAAGCUGUUCACCAGAUCCCUCUAAUUCCAAAGAUUCUACCUGGCUCACAAGU